rnacentral:rRNA from 1 species
GGGUGCGAGCGUUAAUCGGAAUUACUGGGCGUAAAGCGUGCGCAGGCGGUUGUGCAAGACAGAUGUGAAAUCCCCGGGCUUAACCUGGGAACUGCAUUUGUGACUGCACGGCUAGAGUGUGUCAGAGGGGGGUAGAAUUCCACGUGUAGCAGUGAAAUGCGUAGAUAUGUGGAGGAAUACCGAUGGCGAAGGCAGCCCCCUGGGAUGACACUGACGCUCAUGCACGAAAGCGUGGGGAGCAAACAGGAUUAGAUACCCUGGUAGUCCACGCCCUAAACGAUGUCAACUAGUUGUCGGGUCUUAAUUGACUUGGUAACGCAGCUAACGCGUGAAGUUGACCGCCUGGGGAGUACGGUCGCAAGAUUAAAACUCAAAGGAAUUGACGGGGACCCGCACAAGCGGUGGAUGAUGUGGAUUAAUUCGAUGCAACGCGAAAAACCUUACCUACCCUUGACAUGGUCGGAAUCCUGGAGAGAUCUGGGAGUGCUCGAAAGAGAACCGGCGCACAGGUGCUGCAUGGCUGUCGUCAGCUCGUGCCGUGAGAUGUUGGGUUAAGUCCCGCAACGAGCGCAACCCUUGUCAUUAGUUGCUACGAAAGGGCACUCUAAUGAGACUGCCGGUGACAAACCGGAGAAGGUGGGGAUGACGUCCAGUCCUCUGGCCCUUAUGGGUAGGGCUUUCACAGGUCAUACAUGGUCCUACAGAG